rnacentral:misc_RNA from 1 species
UCCGAGUUGACCCCGGCAGUCUCCCAUGAGUCCCCACCAUAACGUGCUGGCAACAUGGAACGAGGGUUGCGCUCGUUGCGGGACUUAACCCAACAUCUCACGACACGAGCUGACGACAACCAUGCACCACCUGUACGCGGCCCAAAAGGACCCGACAUCUCUGCCGGUUUUCCGCGUAUGUCAAGCCUUGGUAAGGUUCUUCGCGUUGCGUCGAAUUAAACCACACGCUCCGCUGCUUGUGCGGGGCCCCGUCAAUUCCUUUGAGUUUUAGUCUUGCGACCGUACUCCCCAGGCGGGCUACUUAAUGCGUUAGCUUCGGCACAGGAGGGGUCAAUACCCCGGACACCUAGUGCCCAUCGUUUACAGCGUGGACUAC